rnacentral:rRNA from 1 species
UACGUAGGGUGCAAGCGUUAAUCGGAAUUACUGGGCGUAAAGCGUGCGCAGGCGGUGAUGUAAGACAGGUGUGAAAUCCCCGGGCUCAACCUGGGAAUGGCGAUGGAGACUGCAAGGCUAGAAUCUGGCAGAGGGGGGUAGAAUUCCACGUGUAGCAGUGAAAUGCGUAGAGAUGUGGAGGAACACCGAUGGCGAAGGCAGCCCCCUGGGUCAAGAUUGACGCUCAUGCACGAAAGCGUGGGGAGCAAACAGG